rnacentral:rRNA from 1 species
CCGUAAACCUAAAUAUCUAAUCAACAAAGUUAUUCGCCAGAGCACUACAAGCAACAGCUUAAAACUCAAAGGACUUGGCGGUGCUUUAUAUCCCCCUAGAGGAGCCUGUUCUAUAAUCGAUAAACCCCGAUAAACCUCACCACCCCUUGCUAAUUCAACCUAUAUACCGCCAUCCUCAGCAAACCCUGUUAAGGUAACAAAGUAAGCAAGAGAAUCGCACAUUAAAACGUUAGGUCAAGGUGUAGUCUAUGAGGUGGGAAGAAAUGGGCUACAUUUUCUACUUACCAUAGAACAAUUAACGCCAGCCCCUAUGAAACACAUUGGCAAAAGGCGGAUUUAGCAGUAAAUUAAGAAUAGAGAGCUUAGUUGAACAGGGCAAUGAAGC